rnacentral:misc_RNA from 1 species
CUAUCCUAACGACAUCCAUCUCAAUUGCGAUUCCUCUUUGCCCCAAAACAAAGCAGCCAUGUCUCCAGGUCCCGUUGUUGAGGCUGAUGCCGCCAAGCCUGAAGUAGCCGAGCUGAUCUCUUCCACUGAGGAGGAGACCCAGCAAAAGCUUAAGCUCGACGAUGUGCCCGUUGUAGAGGACGUGAAGGAGGAGGAUGAUGAGGACGACGAAGACGACGAUGACGAUGAGGACGAUGAUAAGGAAGAUGGAACCCCAGGGGCAAAUGGGAGUUCUAAGCAGAGCAGAAGUGAAAAGAAGAGUCGCAAGGCAAUGUUGAAGCUGGGUAUGAAACCUGUUACUGGUGUUAGUAGGGUAACCAUCAAGAGAACAAAAAAUAUACUAUUUUUCAUAUCCAAACCAGAUGUUUUUAAGAGCCCAAACUCUGAGACAUAUGUCAUAUUUGGGGAGGCUAAGAUAGAGGAUUUGAGUUCUCAGCUGCAGACACAGGCUGCCCAACAGUUUAGGGUGCCAGACAUGGCAUCUGUACUUCCGAAAUCAGAUAUUUCUGGUGCAGCUGCUGCUGCACAAGCAGAUGAAGAAGAGGAAGAAGUUGAUGAGACUGGGGUUGAGCCUCGAGAUAUUGAUCUAGUUAUGACACAAGCAGGAGUAUCAAGGAGUAAGGCUGUCAAGGCUCUUAAGACACACAAUGGGGACAUUGUUAGUGCUAUAAUGGAGCUUACUACU